CGCCGUCGUCUUGGACGAGAUGGUUGAAGGAUGUAAAGACGUUCAUCACCUCCAGGACUACAUCAGAUCUGGAAAACUUCCAGAAUCACAUCCUCAUGCAGGGAAGGUUCUCCUACACUCCAGCAGUGAAUCAUCAGGGAAGGUUCUCCUACACUCCAGCAGUGAAUCAUCAGGGAAGGUUCUCCUACUCCAGCAGUGAAUCACACGCGGACUCUCCCAGCACGAAACAAGGAUGGACACAAGAUGCUACUGCUACUAUAGUCAUUGUAUUUAUUUACAGUAACUUCUUACACUGUUUCAUAGUUCAGUUUUUAUUAUCAGUUCAUUAUUUUUAGAUAAUUUUUUUACUACUAUAUUUACACUUG